CUGCCCAGUGCUCUGAAUGUCAAUGUGAAGAAAUUCAAGAAAGCGCGGGUAAACGGCGGGAGUAACUAUGGCUCUCCCAAAUGCAUCGUCAUCUAAUUAAUGACGCGCAUGAAUGGAUUAAUGACAUUCCUACUAUCCCUAUCUACUAUCGAGCGAUACUACAGCCAAGGGAACGGGCUUGGAAUCAUUAGCGGGGAAAGAAGACUAUGUCGAAAGCCGUCGAGGG
rnacentral:ncRNA from 1 species